AACAAACGCUGGCGGCGUGCCUAAUACAUGCAAGUCGAACGGGGAAAGCUUUCGGGUGAGUACUAGUGGCGCACGGGUGAGUAACGCGUGGAUAAUCUGCCUUAGAGUGGGGGAUAACCAGUCGAAAGAUUGGCUAAUACCGCAUAAGACCACAAGAGCUGCGGCUCAAGGGGUCAAAGGUUUUUCGCUUUAAGAUGAGUCCGCGUAAUGUUAGCUAGUUGGUAGGGUAAUGGCCUACCAAGGCGACGAUCUUUAACUGGUCUGAGAGGAUGAUCAGUCACCUUGGAACUGAGACACGGUCCAGACACCUACGGGAGGCAGCAGUAGGGAAUAUUGCACAAUGGAGGAAACUCUGAUGCAGCGACGCCGCGUGAGUGAUGAAGGCCUUCGGGUUGUAAAGCUCUGUCGCAGGGGAAUAACACAAUGAAUGUACCCUGUAAGAAAGGAUCGGCUAACUUCGUGCCAGCAGCCGCCGUAAUAC
rnacentral:rRNA from 1 species